GGAAAAGAGAAGAGAAGAUGACGACCGAGAAGAAAGAGAUGGAAGUGGUGAAAGGUCUAGACUUGGAGAGGUACAUGGGCCGUUGGUACGAGAUUGCUUCUUUCCCUUCCAGGUUCCAACCCAAGAACGGUGCAGACACUCGCGCCACCUACACCCUUAACCCCGACGGCACCGUCAAAGUCUUGAACGAGACGUGGGACGGAGGCAAGAGAGGUUUCAUCCAAGGCUCAGCUUUCAAAACCGAUCCUAAGAGCGAUGAGGCCAAGUUCAAAGUCAGGUUCUACGUUCCUCCUUUCCUUCCAAUCAUUCCCGUUACUGG
rnacentral:lncRNA from 1 species